CUGGAGAGAAGGGCUCUAUUGUUGACAUGUAGCGGUAGAUUGAAUCUCCUACACCUAAUCUGCCACUCUGAAGAAUGAAAACCAGAUAUCCAUCAGCAUUAACUGACGAACCAAACUUUGGUCUUACUGCCUAUUCAGGGAGGGGAUCUUUCUUCCAGCACAUAGUGGUAAUGAGUUUAGCAGGUGUUGAGACUCUACAUCUUCAUGAUACAAAUCUACUUAAUAUCUCUUAGACGCAGAGGGAGGGGAUCUUUCUUCCAGUACUUAAUGGUAACAAGGUAGGGAAUCUUUCUUCCAGCGCUUAAUGGUAAUAAGGUUAGCAGGUGUUGGAGACUCUACAUCUUCACAAUAGAAUCCACUUAGUACUUCUUAGAUGCAGAUGUGAAUUUGCAAAUUUGAAAGGAUCACCUUACCUUUGGA